rnacentral:rRNA from 1 species
GUAGGUGGCAAGCGUUGUCCGGAAUUAUUGGGCGUAAAGCGCGCGCAGGCGGUUCUUUAAGUCUGAUGUGAAAGCCCACGGCUCAACCGUGGAGGGUCAUUGGAAACUGGAGAACUUGAGUACAGAAGAGGAAAGCGGAAUUCCACGUGUAGCGGUGAAAUGCGUAGAGAUGUGGAGGAACACCAGUGGCGAAGGCGGCUUUCUGGUCUGUAACUGACGCUGAGGCGCGAAAGCGUGGGGAGCAAACAGGGAUUAGAUACCCUGGUAGUCCACGCCGUAAACGAUGAGUGCUAAGUGUUAGGGGGUUUCCGCCCCCUUAGUGCUGCAGCUAACGCAUUAAGCACUCCGCCCGUGGGGAGUACGGCCGCAAGGCUG